UCAUCUCAUAUUUCUCUGCAACUCCCAAAACAAGCAUGGCAGCAGCUUAUGCAACUCUGGUUUCUGCUAUGAAUAUCAUAAACAACCUUCACCAUCAUCCACGCCCUCCUAUUUCUCUCCCCAUUCAACAAGUUGAGUCUCUCACUCAAAAGAUCAGUUUCCUGCUCGAAUUUCUCGAGGGCUAUAACCCCCAUCGUGGCUACUCCAAAGAAGAAGAUCCAUUGGAGUCUCGCAUUGCAGAUGCAGCUUAUGCGGCCGAACACGCCAUUGAAUCUCAUAUUUUUGAACACUACACAAAUAAUGGGCAAAAUAUGAUGAGUUAUGAUGGCUUGUAUGAAGCUCUAGAGAAGGUGAUAGAAGAUAUGGCUUCUAUCGAAGAGGAGGCCAAGAUAAUUCAAGUUCAACAUCAGCUGCACACGAAGUCAACGCCUUCGGAUUCCUCGAGAUCUUCUUCGAUUCCGCAGCAGAGUAGCAUGGUGGGUGUUGAUGAUGUCAAGCGUCAAAUGAUGGAUAAGCUCACUUCUGAUCGCCUUCGUCUACAAAUCAUUCCCAUUGUAGGGAUGGGCGGCUCUGGUAAGACCACUCUUGCUAGAACUGCUUAUGAAGAGCAUCUUAUUAAGGAGCGUUUUGAGAUUUGUGCUUGGGCUACCAUCUCUCAAGAAUAUGUCAUUAGAGAAAUUUUCGCAAUACUUCUUCGUCAGUUUAAUAUAGGAGUUGAUGACAAUUUGAGUGAGCAUGGAUUAGGAGAAAAGUUGUAUAAACAUCUAUAUGGUAGAAGAUACCUAAUUAUAAUGGAUGAUAUGUGGAGCAUUGAUGCGUGGGAUAGAGUUAGGAAUUAUUUUCCAAAUAACGAAAAUGGUAGCAGACUAGUGGUAACAACUAGGCUAUCAGAUUUGGCUUCUAAAUUACCUAACUCUGACAUCAUUGGGAUGAAACUUUUGGAUGAGGCUGAUAGUUGUGAGCUUCUAUGCAAAACUGUGUUUGGGAAAGAAGGGUUGCCCUCUUGAAUUGGAGGAAAUCGGAAAAGAGAUUGGAAAAAGCUGCAAAGGACUUCCAUUAUCAAUUGUUGUGGUGAGAUGAGUGAAAGAUAAUAUAAAUAAAUCCCACAAGUCAAUCUUCAAUAAAUUAGUAAACUGUGAAAUAUUUUGGUGGGAUGAGUGAAAGAAAGAUUGAAUAUAAUACUAACAUUCAAUAUGUUAUGAAUAUAAUGAAUGAAGUGUGAUCACGAUUUAUAAGACAAAUCGCCAAGAAUUAUUAGCUAGCUACUGUUUAAUAAUGCAUACGAAAUUUAUAUAAGGUUAAUGAGUAUGAAUUAUUUUAACAUAUUUAAUGAAUUAUCAAACGUGUAUAUUAAAGUAAACUGUAAAUAAAAACUUAGCAACUGUCACGAUUCUUAAUAUAACAUUUAACAAUUCAUAUAAUAUGACACUUCGUAAAAUAAAUCUAAACUGAAAAGUCCCUAUAUGAAUGACAAAUUAAUUUGUAACUAAUACAAUAUUAAUAAAUUAUGAGAAUAUAUAAUGCCUUUUUAAAGUGGUCUAAUCGGGGAAGCAGACUAUUAUAGAAUUAAAAGUUCAUAAAUUGCUUAUUAACUGUUUAAAAAUUACCAUUAAGUUCAUUAUAUGAAAUUAAUGGGCCACUAUUUUCAGCUUGGUUAAGGAUUCUUAAAACUUAACAAUUUGGAGUACGAAUCAAGAAUCUGUAAUAUUGAGAAGAUUGGUUUAUUCUAAAAAUUUAACACUUAACAAUUUAUAUGAAUUCUUCUAACAAUUCACGAUUCUUAAAACUUAAUUAGGAACUAUCACAAAAUUCAUUUAUCUUGCAUUCAUAGUUCACGAUACUGAAUUCACCAAUAUAUUUGGAGUACGAAUCAAGAAACAGUAAUAUUGAGAAAUCAAAUAUAGUUUUCAAAAUUAUUUGGAGUUUUUAUCAACAAGAAAUUGGAAUUAAUGGAAUAAUAAAAAUUAUGAAGAACAACGCAAAUACCUGGGUGAUCCAUGAUUAUCUUUGAUAAAAAAGUUGUGAUGUUGAAUGAACGUCUGAUGACAGAGGAAAGGGCCGGUCUUGCAUGCGGCGGUCGCACUCCAGUGCGACGGGUCCGCCCCGACCCGCGCCCGAUCCGACCCGUGCCCAGAUCCAAAAUCCUGAAUCCUAAAUUAUUACAUUUGUUUAUAAUAAUUAUUAUUACUUUUAAUAAGCAUGAAAUAACAUUUGUUCGCACAAAUGUAUACUUAUAUAAAUAUAGGUAUUUACCUUCAGUUAAUAUUAAGUAUUAUAUUUUCUAAACCCUAAAUUCUAUAAACUAAACCCUAAACCCUGUAAACUAAACCCUAAGCCUGAACACUAAACCCUAAUAGGAGUAUGUACUUUAAUUUAAUAAGCAUAAGAUAUACAUUUGGUCGCACAAAUAUAUACUUAUAUUAAUAUAAAUAUUUACCUUCAUUCAAUAUAAAAUAUUAUACAUAUCAAUAUACAUUUAUAUGAACAAAUGUAUAUAUUAUGUUUAUUAAAAGUAACAAUUAUUAUAAACAAAUGUAAUAAUUAGGAGUAUGGGUCAAACCCACGUGAGUCAGGGUCCGGGUCAGGAGGGCGGGUUUGGAGCCGGGUAGACCCGUCGCACACCUGUGCGACGGUCGGCGCAGAGGAAAUUGUGAUUCACGUUUGUAGAAGAGAAAUCAACUAAAGCAAUAACGUGUUAAUGGCUAAUCAUGAAUUAUCAAAUAUUUGGUUUGUCAAGAUAUGGAAGUAAUUUUAUUAUUAAAUCUAGUCAAAUCCCUGUAAAACACGAUUUGGUUUGUUAAGAUUGGUUAAAUUACACUAAACUCCUCAUACUAUAUAGACGUGUUUUUGAUGUAUGAAUUUUAAGAUGAUUUCAAGCCAUUGGAUCUUGCAGAUCAAAUGGACAAAAAUAGUUCGUAUUUUAUACACUUAAUAUUGCUCUUAUUAUAGCCCCACCCCUAAAAUAGAUUAACUUAAAUAUUAAGGCAAAAAAUAAUUAAAAUAAGAUUAUUAAGUUUUAAUUAAUUAUAGAACAAAUAAUUCAAAGCCUAAUCUCUAAUCUUCUCUUCAAAAUCCACGCCAUCUUCAACAAAUACUCUACUUCCAUCCACGAGCAUCCAUCUCCAAUCCAUUUAUAUCACAAAUCAUGUAAAACCAUAUAAAACCAUAGCAAAACACACACUAAAUUAAGUAACUAAAAUGCCACACAUCAAUGCUACUUCACAAAUAAUAAUUUUUAUAAAAGCAAAUGAUAAUUUGUAUAAAAUAAACGAUACUUUAUACAAAAACACAUAUAACACAUUUAACACAUUCAUGAAAAUGACAUCAUUAAAACAUUUAACAUGCAAACGAUACAUUUCAGAAGGAUCGAAUUAGUCUGGACAGGAUUGGCUAUAAAAGCCGAAACAUUAACUCGUGAAGCUGCAACACAACAUUCAAUUCAAACCAUUGAAAUUAACAAACAUGAAAAUCGAAACAAGACUUCCAUCGUUGCUUGCAAUAUUAUAUUUUUCAGUUUCCCUAAUCUUCUUGAAACUCAUAUAUUCCAUCAAGAAAAGAUCGACAGCGCCACCGCCACCGCUGCCGCCGGGGCCGCCCGCGUACCCGGUCGUGGGCAGCCUGCCGGAGAUGCUGUCGAAGAAGCCCGCAUUCCGAUGGAUGCACAAUCUCAUGCAAAAACUCAACACGGAGAUCCUCUGCGUCCGCCUCGGCGGCGUCCACGUCAUCGCGGUCGCUUCUCCGGAGCUUUCCAGAGAGUUCCUGAAGAAGCACGACGCGGCCUUCGCCUCCCGGCCCGACGCCGUCUCGGCCCGCCUCAUCAGCGACGGAUACUCGGCGCUGAUCCUCUCUCCCGCGGGCGAGCAGUGGAAGAAAAUGAGGAGGGUCAUGGUGUCGGAGGUGCUGGCGGCGGGCGUGUUCCGACGGUUCCACUCGACGAGACGCGAGGAGGCCGAUCACCUCGUGCGUACGUGUACAGCCGCCGCAACGGGGCGGUGAACGUGAGAGAUGCGGCGCGGCAUUACUGUGCCAAUUUGAUCAGGAAGAUGGUGUUUGGUGAGAGGUUUUUCGGGGCGGGGAUGGACGACGGAGGGCCGGGAAACGAGGAGAGGGAACACGUGAUGGAUUGUUCACUAUGCUUUCGUAUCUCUAUGGAUUCGCCAUAGCCGAUUUUGUGCCGUGGUUGGAGGUUUUCGAUUUGGAUGGGCAUAAGAGGAUUGUGAGCAACGCCAUUAAGAAGGUAAGGAAAUAGCAUUUCAUUUUGAUUUUCAUAUUUUGACGAUGAAGCGCAGUCUGUUGGUAAGACGGUUCUCCUCCAAUCAAUAGGUCGGUGUUCGAGUCGAGUCACCUAGAAGGUUAGAAUGUGAGUGUGUUUUUCCUUUCUUUGGGUGUAAUAAUUUUAUUUUAUUUUUUAAAAAAAGGUAAGGAAAUACCAAGAUCCGUUGAUCAAUAAGAGAAUGGAGAUGUGGCAGCUAGGGCUCAAGACUCAACAAGAUGAUAUUCUUGAUCUUCUGAUUAACCUCAAGAGCGAAUCGGACGAAACUAAGCCCCUCUUGUCACUUCGAGAGAUUAAAGCACAAAUUCUUGUAAGUAUUUAGUUUAACCUAAUUAACUAUUUGUUCUUUUUCUUUUUACAAUAUUUCAAUUAAGGGUUGCAUUCUACAGAGCUUAUACAGGAAAAUCAGAAACAUUGAACAUGGCAGUAAACACUGUUGAACAUAUAAAUAAUUUGUUGAACGUUUGGGGCUGGGGAUUCGAACUUCUGUUCAUGUUCGCGUUGAACAUUGAGCGAACAAACGCUCUCCUCCUUUCUCUGUCUUAUAUUUGCAUUUCUAUAGAACUUUGCCCUCUUUUUCUCAAUAUUUAAAAUUAGAUUCUCAUAAAAAAGGUGAAAUUUGAGUGUAAAAUGGUGUUGGUUAUACAGGAAAUAAUGAUUGCGACAGUUGAUAAUCCGUCAAAUGCAGCAGAAUGGGCAUUGGCGGAGAUGAUCAAUCAACCGGAUAUUUUUGCAAAGGCGUGUGAAGAACUAGACCGAGUUGUAGGCAAGAAUAGGCUCGUUGAGGAAUCAGAUCUGCCUAAUUUAAACUAUGUGAAGGCUUGUGUGAAAGAGGCAUUCAGGCUACAUCCACUGGCACCUUUCAAUCCGACUCAUGUUUCGAGCAAGGAUCUUGUGGUGGGUGGCUACCUCAUCCCAAAAGGGAGCCAUGUGUUGCUCAGUCGCCCCGGCCUGGGGCGAAAUCCUAGGGUUUGGGACGAGCCACUUCGUUUCAAGCCCGGGCGUCACAUUGUUGAUGAGUCCUCAGAAGUGGUGCUUGUGGAUCAUGAAUUGCGCAUGUUAUCAUUCAGUACAGGGAGACGAGGAUGUCCCGGCAUUGUGCUUGGUUCUACCAUAAGCACUAUGCUUCUGGCUAGACUUAUUCAGGGUUUUAGCUGGAGGCCACCCCUUGGUAUGAAUAACAUUGAUUUGGUUGAGUCGAGGCAUGACUUGACAUUGGCUAAGCCUCUCAUUGCUCAUGCAACACCUCGAUUGGACUCACAAAUUUAUCUUUAAUUCAUGUGAAAUUAAUAUAUAAAUUUUCAUAUAAUUAGGUGAACACAUUAUUUUCAGGUCAGCUCUAGGGUUUCGUGUUAUUUUCGAGGUAGCCUAUCGGGUGUUGGGUUAUUCAGUCACUGCUAUUAGCUCUAGGGUUUUUGUGUUGUUUUUGCUACCGCGUAUUAAAAUAGUAGCCACAAGAUGUGAGGUUAUGAAUUAAAUUUAAGUUAGAAAUCGUUAUUGAUAUAAAUUUGGUAUUUGAAUAUACUGAUUUUAUGUAUUGAAUAAUAACGUAUGAACUAUUGAAUAGUAUUGCAUAAAUUAAAGAAUAAUAAGUUUCCUGUAUUAUUUUUCUCUAAUUGCAAUGAAGUAGUAUAUGAAGUACGGAAAAAACUAUGAAUCUUGGCUCCAAACUCGUGCAAGAAACUCCAAAAUGUCAAAACAAUAUUGAAAUGUUUAAGAAUUCAUCUCUAGUUUGCAACAAUGUUGAUAUUCAAUUUGCAAUUCAUCUCCAAAAGGAAACACAGCUGUGGUUUUAACCUAUGUGUUCUUCUCUUUCAACUGUUGAUGAAUGUCUACACUUUAUCACAUAUAACUAAUCUUCAUCUAUAUGCAUAAAUGCCAUCCCUACUCAUACUAUAUCAGUUGAAUCUUUUGGUCAAGAAUAUACUACUUCAAACAUUCUUCUAUCCUGCAACGACGUCGUUUCUCAAGAUAGAAGUUUACCUUGAAAUUACACGGCAACAACGAGAAAAAUUAUGGCGACGGCCCAUAAGGCCUCUUGUCCACACCAGCUGAUACUGACCUGAAGGAAGUAACAACACAACUUCUUAUAUGUUAUUUUUUUAAAUUUCAAUUUUUGAAAAUAAAAGUUAAAGAUAAUGUACACUAAUGUUUAAUUAAUCUUAUAUUUAUAAAAUAAAUUGUUAGACGGAGCUAGAAAUUAAGUUCCGGGGGGGCUGAAAUUUUUUUUGGGCUUCCAUAUAUUUAAGUCAUUUUUUACUAAAAUACGAGCAUAAAAGUAAUAAUAACGAACAACAUUUUCAUAGAUUAUAUAGUUUCAAUAUAUUACAAAUUAGUUUCAAUACAUUACAAUUUUUUUUGAACAUUUCAUAUAUUUUAGGUAUUUUUUAUUAAAAGAAAAGCAUAAUCUAAAGCUACGGAGGUCAAUGCGGAGGAGAUAUGGAAUAUUCUCCAUAUCUAUGAUAUAUUUUUAAUUUCAAUUUUUGAAAAUAAAAGUUGAAGAUAAUGUACACUAUUAUUUAAUACUACAAUUUAUUUUAUUAAAGAAAUUAUUAAAAUAAUAAAUAUACUUAUGAAAUAUGUGAAAACUACGAAGAAAGAUAGAGAGAGAAAAUAGAAAUUGACAUUGAAUAACUUGCUGUUCAACAAGAAAGACACAAAAGAAAAUCACUAUUCAUCUUACCCAAAGUGAGAAUGGUAGCUGUAAAGUGAGAAAUUAAAGUUUUCAAUAAUUCAUAAUUAAUCUCUAAUCUUCAUUCUCACUCAUCUCAUAUUUCUCUGCUAUGAAUAUCAUAAACAACCUUCACCAUCAUCCCCGCCCUCCUAUUUCUCUCCCCAUUCAACAAGUUGAGUCUCUCACUCAAAAGAUCAAUUUCCUGCUCGAAUUUCUUGAGGGCUAUAACCCCCAUCGUGGCU
rnacentral:lncRNA from 1 species